UACAGAGGGUGCAAGCGUUAAUCGGAAUUACUGGGCGUAAAGCGUGCGUAGACGGUUAUGUAAGUCGGGUGUGAAAGCCCCGGGCUCAACCUGGGAAUGCCAUUCGAGACUGCAUAGCUAGGGUGCGGAAGAGGCGAGUGGAAUUCCCGGUGUAGCGGUGAAAUGCGCAGAUAUCGGGAGGAACACCAAUGGCGAAGGCAGCUUGCUGGGACGGUACUGACGCUGAGGCGCGAAAGCGUGGGGAGCAAACAGG
rnacentral:rRNA from 1 species